GUUGUGCCUUUCUCCCCCCCCCCCCCCGCUCAGGUCCUGAAAGGCUUCCCUGAGUGUCUGCAGGCGGACAUCUGUCUGCACCUGAACCGCUCCCUGCUGCAGAACUGCAAGGCCUUCCGCAGCGCCAGCAAGGCGUGCCUGCGAGCCCUAGCCACGCGCUUCAAGACCAUACACUCGCCGCCUGGCGACACACUCUAUCACCACGGCGACGUGCUCGUCUCCCUCUACUUCAUCGCCCGCGGCUCCAUCCAGGUGUCGCGCCCCGGCAAGGUGCUCGCCGUGCUGGGUAAGAAUGACACGUUUGGGGAGCCCAUCAACCUGUAUGCUGCGGAGAUGGGCAGGAGUAACGCCGAUGUGAUGUCCCUCACCUACUGCGACCUGCACCACAUCCAGAGGGAGGACCUGCUGGAGGUGCUGGACAUGUACCCAGCCUUCGCAGACAGCUUCUGGAGGAACCUGGAGAUCACCUUCAUCCUGAGAGAUGCAAGUCACACACACGCACACACACACACGCACGCACGCACGCACGCACACACGCACACACACACACACACACGCUUCAGUCACACACACACACACACACACACACACACACACACACACACACACACACACACACACAGACACAGACACACACACACACACACACACGCACGCUUCAGUCACACAUUGUAGACACGCAUGCAGUUUUGACCACAGAGCUUAUAAUCACAUAAGUGGGACAGAUCGCAACCUUGCAGGUGAACACACACGCACACACACACGCAAACACACACACACGUGCACGCACACACACGCACGCAAACACACACACAUGCACACGCACACACACACGCAAACACACACACACGCACACACACACACACACGCACACACAUUAUGACUGACUGAUCUCUAAUGUGUAUUCAGGUGGAACAGGUGAUCCAGAUGCUGCCUGGUGAGGACUCAGAUGGUGGUAACCGUGGUCACCGGGCCAGGCACCGCAGAAACUCAAUGGACCGACGGAACAGGCCAGGUGGGAGUGAACACCUUCCCCCAACCAGACACACACACACACACACACACACACACACACACACACACACACAGCUGGUUUCUUUUGUAUCUCCACACCCACACACACACACAGCUGGUUUCUUUUGUAUCUCCACACCCAUAAAAACAUUUGAUUCAGGAAGUCAGCAAGGACAAUAUACAUGGAGUAUAUCUCACACACACACACACACACACACACACACACACACACACACACACACACACACACACCGACAUACACUUCACGUCUCUGUUUUCUCUCUCUCCCCCCAGAUGGCAUGGACCAGGAUGACUCCCACCCCCCCACGCAGACAUGUCCCCCCACCAGGCGCCCCCAUUGCCCCUCGGCGGCGCCCCCUCUCUGGGACGAGCUGUGCAGCUGUGGGACGUCCUGCUCCCAGUCUCCGUCCAGCGAGAACUACCCCCCCGAGGAGGAGCUCCUGGCCUUCCCCCCCACAGUGGUGCGAUUCCUGGACCCAGGAGGGGGCGCCUCGGUGGGCAUCGAGAGUGGCAUGGACCGGGGGCACCCAGGUAGAGGGGGCGCCGCGGUGGGCAUCGAGAGUGGCAUGGACCGGGGGCACCCAGCGGUUCCGGGGCUGUACCAGCUCUGGCCCGAUCGCUCGGCCCAGUUCCCCCAGCACCACUGGAGGUCCUCGUCAGUGCGGGCCGCCCCUCCCCCUCAGUCCUCACGCCACCGGCCCAGCGAACUACACGCCCGACUCGACUACUGCAGAGCCAGCUCAACAGGUGUGUGUGUGUGUGUGUGUGUGUGUGUGUGAAUGAACAGGUGUGUAUGAACAGGUGUAUCUGUACUGAAUGAUUGUGUCUCGUAUGUUGGUUGGUGUGUGAGGUGAGUGUGAACAGGUGUGUGAGGUGUGUGUGAACAGGUGUGUGUGAACAGGUGUAUCUGUACUGAAUGAUUUGUGUCUCGUAUGUUGGUUGGUGUGUGAACAGGUGUGUGAGGU
ensembl:lncRNA